AACGAACGCUGGCGGCAUGCCUAACACAUGCAAGUCGAACGAGACCUUCGGGUCUAGUGGCGCACAGGUGCGUAACGCGUGGGAACCUGCCCUUAGGUUCGGAAUAACUCCCCGAAAGGGGUGCUAAUACCGGAUAAUGUCUUCGGACCAAAGAUUUAUCGCCUUUGGAUGGGCCCGCGUUGGAUUAGCUAGUUGGUAGGGUAAAAGCCUACCAAGGCGACGAUCCAUAGCUGGUCUGAGAGGAUGUUCAGCCACACUGGGACUGAGACACGGCCCAGACUCCUACGGGAGGCAGCAGUGGGGAAUAUUGGACAAUGGGCGAAAGCCUGAUCCAGCAAUGCCGCGUGAGUGAUGAAGGCCUUAGGGUUGUAAAGCUCUUUUACCCGGGAUGAUAAUGACAGUACCGGGAGAAUAAGCUCCGGCUAACUCCGUG
rnacentral:rRNA from 1 species